UAGGGAAUCUUCGGCAAUGGACGAAAGUCUGACCGAGCAACGCCGCGUGAGUGAAGAAGGUUUUCGGAUCGUAAAACUCUGUUGUUAGAGAAGAACAAGGACGUUAGUAACUGAACGUCCCCUGACGGUAUCUAACCAGAAAGCCACGGCUAACCACUUGCCAGCAGCCGCGGUAAUACGUAGGUGGCAAGCGUUGUCCGGAUUUAUUGGGCGUAAAGCGAGCGCAGGCGGUUUCUUAAGUCUGAUGUGAAAGCCCCCGGCUCAACCGGGGAGGGUCAUUGGAAACUGGGAGACUUGAGUGCAGAAGAGGAGAGUGGAAUUCCAUGUGUAGCGGUGAAAUGCGUAGAUAUAUGGAGGAACACCAGUGGCGAAGGCGGCUCUCUGGUCUGUAACUGACGCUGAGGCUCGAAAGCGUGGGGAGCAAACAGG
rnacentral:rRNA from 1 species